rnacentral:lncRNA from 1 species
CUCUCUCCAGUCUCUCUCCAGUCUCUCUCCAGUCUCUCUCCAGUCUCUCUCCAGUCUCUCUCCAGACUCUCUCCAGUCUCUCUCCAGUCUCUCUCCAGUCUCUCUCCAGCUGCUGUCUCUCUCCAGUCUCUCUCCAGUCUCUCUCCAGUCUCUCUCCAGUCUCUCUCCAGCUGCUGUCUCUCUCCAGUCUCUCUCCAGUCUCUCUCCAGUCUCUCUCCAGUCUCUCUCCAGUCUCUCUCCAGACUCUCUCCAGUCUCUCUCCAGUCUCUCUCCAGUCUCUCUCCAGCUGCUGUCUCUCUCCAGUCUCUCUCCAGUCUCUCUCCAGUCUCUCUCCAGUCUCUCUCCAGUCUCUCUCCAGCUGCUGUCUCUCUCCAGUCUCUCUCCAGUCUCUCUCCAGUCUCUCUCCAGUCUUUCUCCAGUCUCUCUCCAGCUGCUGUCUCUCUCCAGUCUCUCUCCAGUCUCUCUCCAGUCUCUCUCCAGUCUCUCUCCAGUCUCUCUCCAGCUGCUGUCUCUCUCCAGUCUCUCUCCAGUCUCUCUCCAGUCUCUCUCCAGUCUCUCUCCAGUCUUUCUCCAGCUGCUGUCUCUCUCCAGUCUCUCUCCAGUCUUUCUCCAGCUGCUGUCUCUCUCCAGUCUCUCUCCAGCUGCUGUCUCUCUCCAGUCUCUCUCCAGACUCUCUCCAGUCUCUCUCCAGUCUCUCUCCAGUCUCUCUCCAGUCUCUCUCCAGCUGCUGUCUCUCUCCAGUCUCUCUCCAGACUCUCUCCAGUCUCUCUCCAGUCUCUCUCCAGUCUCUCUCCAGUCUCUCUCCAGUUGCUGUCUCUCUCCAAUCUCUCUCCAGAUUCUCUCCAGUCUCUCUCCAGUCUCUCUCCAGUCUCUCUCCAGUCUCUCUCCAGCUGCUGUCUCUCUCCAGUCUCUCUCCAGACUCUCUCCAGUCUCUCUCCAGUCUCUCUCCAGUCUCUCUCCAGCUGCUGUCUCUCUCCAGUCUCUCUCCAGACUCUCUCCAGUCUCUCUCCAGUCUCUCUCCAGUCUCUCUCCAGCUGCUGUCUCUCUCCAGUCUCUCUCCAGUCUCUCUCCAGUCUCUCUCCAGCUGCUGUCUCUCUCCAGUCUCUCUCCAGUCUCUCUCCAGUCUCUCUCCAGUCUCUCUCCAGUCUCUCUCCAGUCUUUCUCCAGCUGCUGUCUCUCUCCAGUCUCUCUCCAGUCUUUCUCCAGCUGCUGUCUCUCUCCAGUCUCUCUCCAGCUGCUGUCUCUCUCCAGUCUCUCUCCAGACUCUCUCCAGUCUCUCUCCAGUCUCUCUCCAGUCUCUCUCCAGUCUCUCUCCAGCUGCUGUCUCUCUCCAGUCUCUCUCCAGACUCUCUCCAGUCUCUCUCCAGUCUCUCUCCAGUCUCUCUCCAGUUGCUGUCUCUCUCCAGUCUCUCUCCAGACUCUCUCCAGUCUCUCUCCAGUCUCUCUCCAGUCUCUCUCCAGCUGCUGUCUCUCUCCAGUCUCUCUCCAGACUCUCUCCAGUCUCUCUCCAGUCUCUCUCCAGUCUCUCUCCAGCUGCUGUCUCUCUCCAGUCUCUCUCCAGACUCUCUCCAGUCUCUCUCCAGUCUCUCUCCAGUCUCUCUCCAGUCUCUCUCCAGCUGCUGUCUCUCUCCAGUCUCUCUCCAGUCUCUCUCCAGUCUCUCUCCAGACUCUCUCCAGUCUCUCUCCAGUCUCUCUCCAGUCUCUCUCCAGUCUCUCUCCAUUCUCUCUCCACUCUCUCCUCAGUCUCUCUCCAGUCUCUCUCCAGUCUCUCUCCAGUCUCUCUCCAGUCUCUCUCCAGUCUCUCUUCUCUCUCCAGACUCUCUCCAGUCUCUCUCCAGUCUCUCUCCAGUCUCUCUCCAGACUCUCUCCAGUCUCUCUCCAGUCUCUCUCCAGUGUCUCUCCAGUCUCUCUCCAGUCUCUCUCCAGACUCUCUCCAGUCUCUCUCCAGUCUCUCUUCAGUCUCUCUCCAGUCUCUCUCCAGUCUCUCUCCACUCUCUGGUCCUCUCAUGUCUCCCUGAUGGCAUUUUUUCCUCUGUCUCUCUCCAGUCUCUCUCCAGCUGCUGUCUCUCUCCAGUCUCUCUCCAGUCUCUCUCCAGUCUCUCUCCAGUCUCUCUCCAGUCUCUCUCCAGUCUCUCUCCAGCUGCUGUCUCUCUCCAGUCUCUCUCCAGUCUCUCUCCAGUCUCUCUCCAGUCUCUCUCCAGUCUCUCUCCAGUCUCUCUCCAGCUGCUGUCUCUCUCCAGUCUCUCUCCAGUCUCUCUCCAGUCUCUCUCCAGUCUCUCUCCAGUCUCUCUCCAGCUGCUGUCUCUCUCCAGUCUCUCUCCAGUCUCUCUCCAGUCUCUCUCCAGCUGCUGUCUCUCUCCAGUCUCUCUCCAGUCUCUCUCCAGUCUCUCUCCAGUCUCUCUCCAGCUGCUGUCUCUCUCCAGUCUCUCUCCAGUCUCUCUCCAGUCUCUCUCCAGACUCUCUCCAGUCUCUCUCCAGACUCUCUCCAGUCUCUCUCCAGUCUCUCUCCAGUCUCUCUCCAGACUCUCUCCAGUCUCUCUCCAGUCUCUCUCCAGUGUCUCUCCAGUCUCUCUCCAGUCUCUCUCCAGACUCUCUCCAGUCUCUCUCCAGUCUCUCUUCAGUCUCUCUCCAGUCUCUCUCCAGUCUCUCUCCAGUCUCUCUUCAGUCUCUCUCUAGUCUCUCCAGUCUCUCUCCAGUCUCUCUCCAGUCUCUCUCCAGUCUCUCUCCAGUCUCUCUCCAGCUGCUGUCUCUCUCCAGUCUCUCUCCAGUCUCUCUCCAGUCUCUCUCCAGUCUCUCUCCAGUCUCUCUUCAGUCUCUCUCCAGUCUCUCUCCAGUCUCUCUCCAGUCUCUCUUCAGUCUCUCUCUAGUCUCUCCAGUCUCUCUCCAGUCUCUCUCCAGUCUCUCUUCAGUCUCUCUCCAGUCUCUCUCCAGUCUCUCUCCAGUCUCUCUUCAGUCUCUCUCCAGUCUCUCUCCAGUCUCUCUCCAGUCUCUCUCCAGUCUCUCUCUAGUCUCUCCAGUCUCUCUCCAGUCUCUCUUCAGUCUCUCUCCAGUCUCUCUCUAGUCUCUCCAGUCUCUCUCCAGUCUCUCUCCAGUCUCUCUCCAGUCUCUCCAGUCUCUCUUCAGUCUCUCUCUAGUCUCUCCAGUCUCUCUCCAGUCUCUCUCCAGUCUCUCUUCAGUCUCUCUCCAGUCUCUCUCCAGUCUCUCUCCAGUCUCUCUCCAGUCUCUCUUCAGUCUCUCUCCAGUCUCUCUCCAGUCUCUCUCCAGUCUCUCUCCAGACUCUCUCCAGUCUCUCUCCAGACUCUCUCCAGUCUCUCUCCAGUCUCUCUUCAGUCUCUCUUCAGUCUCUCUCCAGUCUCUCUCUAGUCUCUCCAGUCUCUCUCCAGUCUCUCUCCAGUCUCUCUCCAGUCUCUCUUCAGUCUCUCUCCAGUCUCUCUCCAGUCUCUCUCCAGUCUCUCUCCAGACUCUCUCCAGUCUCUCUCCAGACUCUCUCCAGUCUCUCUCCAGUCUCUCUUCAGUCUCUCUUCAGUCUCUCUCCAGUCUCUCUCUAGUCUCUCCAGUCUCUCUCCAGUCUCUCUCCAGUCUCUCUUCAGUCUCUCUCCAGUAUCUCUCCAGUCUCUCUCCAGUCUCUCUCCAGUCUCUCUCCAGUCUCUCUUCAGUCUCUCUCCAGUCUCUCUCCAGUCUCUCUCCAGUCUCUCUCCAGUCUCUCUUCAGUCUCUCUCCAGUCUCUCUCCAGUCUCUCUCCAGUCUUUCUCCAGUCUCUCUCCAGUCUCUCUCUAGUCUCUCCAGUCUCUCUCCAGUCUCUCUUCAGUCUCUCUCCAGUCUCUCCUCAGUCUCUCUCCAGUCUCUCUUCAGUCUCUCUGUCUUUCUGUCUCUCCUCUCAUUUUAAUAUGGUCUGUCCCGGUCCCAGAGUCUGUGUUCAAUCAUGACAGGUCAGUGGUAGAUGGGGGUGGAGUCAGUAGUUUGAUUGACAGGUCAGUGAUAUAUGGGGCGGGGCCGUAGUAGAUGG